rnacentral:rRNA from 1 species
GGCCUUCGGGUCGUAAACCACUGUUCGAAGGGGAAGAUAAUGACGGUACCCUUGGAGGAAGCCCCGGCUAACUACGUGCCAGCAGCCGCGGU